rnacentral:rRNA from 1 species
UACGUAGGUGGCAAGCGUUAUCCGGAUUUACUGGGUGUAAAGGGCGUGUAGGCGGGGAAGCAAGUCAGAUGUGAAAACCACGGGCUCAACCUGUGGCCUGCAUUUGAAACUGUUUUUCUUGAGUGCUGGAGAGGCAAUCGGAAUUCCGUGUGUAGCGGUGAAAUGCGUAGAUAUACGGAGGAACACCAGUGGCGAAGGCGGAUUGCUGGACAGUAACUGACGCUGAAGCACGAAAGCGUGGGGAUCGAACAGG